GCUGAUGUAGCUCAAUUGGUAGAGCACCUGAUUUGUAAUCAGGCGGUUAAGGGUUCAAGUCCCUUCAUCAGCUCCA
rnacentral:tRNA from 1 species